rnacentral:rRNA from 1 species
UACGUAGGCAGCAAGCGUUGUUCGGAAUUAUUGGGCGUAAGGGGCGCGUAGGCGGUUCGUACAGUCAGACGUGAAAUUCCUGGGCUCAACCUGGGGGCUGCGUUUGAUACGUGCGGACUUGAGUGCGGAAGAGGGUCGUGGAAUUCCCAGUGUAGAGGUGAAAUUCGUAGAUAUUGGGAAGAACACCGGUGGCGAAGGCGGCGACCUGGUCCGAUACUGACGCUGAGGCGCGAAAGCGUGGGUAGCAAACAGG